GAGUUUGAUCAUGGCUCAGAUUGAACGCUGGCGGCAGGCCUAACACAUGCAAGUCGAACGGUAACAGGAAGCAGCUUGCUGCUUUGCUGACGAGUGGCGGACGGGUGAGUAAUGUCUGGGAAACUGCCUGAUGGAGGGGGAUAACUACUGGAAACGGUGGCUAAUACCGCAUAACGUCGCAAGACCAAAGAGGGGGACCUUCGGGCCUCUUGCCAUCAGAUGUGCCCAGAUGGGAUUAGCUUGUUGGUGAGGUAACGGCUCACCAAGGCGACGAUCCCUAGCUGGUCUGAGAGGAUGACCAGCCACACUGGAACUGAGACACGGUCCAGACUCCUACGGGAGGCAGCAGUGGGGAAUAUUGCACAAUGGGCGCAAGCCUGAUGCAGCCAUGCCGCGUGUAUGAAGAAGGCCUUCGGGUUGUAAAGUACUUUCAGCGGGGAGGAAGGUGUUGUGGUUAAUAACCGCAGCAAUUGACGUUACCCGCAGAAGAAGCACCGGCUAACUCCGUGCCAGCAGCCGCGGUAAUACGGAGGGUGCAAGCGUUAAUCGGAAUUACUGGGCGUAAAGCGCACGCAGGCGGUCUGUCAAGUCGGAUGUGAAAUCCCCGGGCUCAACCUGGGAACUGCAUUCGAAACUGGCAGGCUUGAGUCUUGUAGAGGGGGGUAGAAUUCCAGGUGUAGCGGUGAAAUGCGUAGAGAUCUGGAGGAAUACCGGUGGCGAAGGCGGCCCCCUGGACAAAGACUGACGCUCAGGUGCGAAAGCGUGGGGAGCAAACAGGAUUAGAUACCCUGGUAGUCCACGCCGUAAACGAUGUCUACUUGGAGGUUGUGCCCUUGAGGCGUGGCUUCCGGAGCUAACGCGUUAAGUAGACCGCCUGGGGAGUACGGCCGCAAGGUUAAAACUCAAAUGAAUUGACGGGGGCCCGCACAAGCGGUGGAGCAUGUGGUUUAAUUCGAUGCAACGCGAAGAACCUUACCUGGUCUUGACAUCCACAGAAGAAUCCAGAGAUGGAUUUGUGCCUUCGGGAACUGUGAGACAGGUGCUGCAUGGCUGUCGUCAGCUCGUGUUGUGAAAUGUUGGGUUAAGUCCCGCAACGAGCGCAACCCUUAUCCUUUGUUGCCAGCGGUUAGGCCGGGAACUCAAAGGAGACUGCCAGUGAUAAACUGGAGGAAGGUGGGGAUGACGUCAAGUCAUCAUGGCCCUUACGACCAGGGCUACACACGUGCUACAAUGGCGCAUACAAAGAGAAGCGACCUCGCGAGAGCAAGCGGACCUCAUAAAGUGCGUCGUAGUCCGGAUUGGAGUCUGCAACUCGACUCCAUGAAGUCGGAAUCGCUAGUAAUCGUGGAUCAGAAUGCCACGGUGAAUACGUUCCCGGGCCUUGUACACACCGCCCGUCACACCAUGGGAGUGGGUUGCAAAAGAAGUAGGUAGCUUAACCUUCGGGAGGGCGCUUACCACUUUGUGAUUCAUGACUGGGGUGAAGUCGUAACAAGGUAACCGUAGGGGAACCUGCGGUUGGAUCACC
rnacentral:rRNA from 1 species